GAAAAAGUGUGGGAUUUCAAGGAAUCAAGCAAUCGAAGGAUUAGAGUAGGCUAUAGAUAACUGGUUCCAUCGGGGAUUUCCAUUGAAUUGCAUCUUCCAAAUUGUAGGUUCAUAGCUUCUUUAAUUUUGGUUAUUAUGGGCCCUCUUGAUAUUGUAAAAUUAAAUUAAUUUAAAUACUCUAGUUUAUUGCGUUACAGUAUAAAUGAAUUUAUUUUGUUUUUA